rnacentral:ncRNA from 1 species
AAAAUUGAGAAUUCUAUACUUUUCAUUUUUAGCAAAAUUUGGACAGUGACCCUGUACUAUAGGUACACCAGAGGCGAAAGCGAGCUACUGUGUAACAACCAACCUGUGGUUGGUUCAUAAGGGGCUGACAUUUAAGCACGAAAGUGUGGGGAGCGAGUAGGAUUAGAUACCCAGGUAGUCCACACCGCGAAAGAUGGGCCAUAUAUGUAUGCGUACGUAUACAUGUAAGUAAAUGCAAGAGGGUCCCGCCUGAAGAGUAUGAUUGCAAAGUUGAAAUUUAAGAAAUCUGACGGUUCGCCAACCAAUUAGAGGAGCGUGUGGUUUAAUGCGAUGAUCCGCGAGCGACCUUACCAGAAUUUGAACCCCACCUAUAUUAGGGGGGCAGGCGUCGUGUGGCCGUCGUCAGCCCUUGAUAAAGGGCACAACAUCGGCAACCACGGCGGUGCCUUGUAUGAAGUCAGGUCCUUACGGCCUAUAUAUUCUGGGCGACCCAUGCGCUACAAAUCUAAUAGGCAAACACACAAAGUUGGUGCCAAGAAAGCUGGAAGGUUAAAUGGGAGUUAGGUUCGGAGCGUCCACUGAAAUGGGGGCGUGAAGCAGGAUUUGAAAGUAAUCGGGAAGUAGAGCGUUUCGGUGAAUAGAGCUCUGGCGUUCGUACAAACC